ensembl:lncRNA
CGGGCCUUCCCGGCCAGUGUCUACGCCCCGCGCCUGGGGAACUGCUGUUCCCCGGGCUGAGAUCCUAGGAAGAGCCAGGCCGUCCACCCCCGAGCCUCGCGAACGUCCGGGCCCAGAAAUGAGGAAGCGGCAGCGGGGCCUGGUAAGAAACUUAAAGCUGAAGCCGGACGUGGAUGGAAACCUAGCUGCGAAAUCACUGGCUCUGUGACUUCGGGCAGGUCACUUCUCUGAGCCUCAGUUUCCUUGUAUUCCUUAUAAAUCGGGGAUAACAGCACCUGCAUUGAAGCAUUGUUGGGAAGAUUAUUUUAAAAGAAAAAAAAAAGGCACUGGCGUGGCACAUAGUAGUUCCUCAAAGACUUCUUGAAUUAAUGCAUACUAAAAGAGCAUUGUCCCAGACGCCUGUCAGCCGUGAGUGCAGCAGGGGCAGCAUGAAAGAGGAGAAACACAGUUCACAUCCUGCUCUGAUACGUUCGAGCUGUUUGGGCAUAGGCGGAUCCCAGCCUCUUAAUUACAGUUUCUUCACGGAGAAAUAGGAAUAAUGAUCUUUGUCUCUCAGGGAUGGAAGAGAGUUUAAAUUCCCGGUGGACGGCACCGAGGAAGGUGUUUAACCUGUUCUACCAUGUCCUUCUGCCCCUGUGCCAUGUGCAUGCCAUUCCAAAGAGCAUCGCCAGCAACCAAAAUGCCAGAAGCCCGGGGUACUGAUGGUGGGAGGAGACCAACAUCACAAGAGCAAACAGUAGGAGAAGCCCCAGCCAAUGUGAAGAAUUAGCUGGGAGCUAGGUAGUCCCAGGAGAAAAAGACAAGAAAAUGAGGCUAAUCUGAGUUGAAUUAAAAGUCUUCAGGGGCUUUCCAUUGCCAUCAAGAUAACAUCCAGACUCCUUAAUGUGUUUUUAGUUUUAGUGCAGUUAAAAAUCUGUUAACCUUUUUCCUCUAUAGCAUCUCACUUUCCUGUUGGGCAUAGAAAGACCCACCUCACAAGUUGUAAAAACGUAAGACGCCAAAAAUACAAUCAACUAAGUUAAGUGAUGCUUGAAACAUAUACAUUAUCAAUGACAAAGCAUUAGUUAGUAUCCACAAUAUACAAAAAGUUUGCAUGAAUCGAUAAGAAAAAAAUACAAAAAUUGCAGAAGAGAUGGAACCGCAAAUUCUAGAACAGAAAGAUAAACAAAAUGGUAAACAAAUAUGUGGAAAGAUUCCCAAAUCACUAAAAAUUAAUGAUAUUGAGAUUUUUAAUGACGUAUUUUUUACUGAUUAAAUUGGCAAACAUUUAAAAUACAGUUACAACCAAUGUUAGAAAGGAUAUGGGAAAAAAGGCAUUUGUAUCCACUGUUGAUGGAAGUGAAUAUUAGUCCAGCUUUUGGAAGACUGGCGAUUUGGCAGUAUUCAUCAGAAUUUUAAUAUAUGUUUAGUUGUAUACUCUUUGACCUAGAAAUUCCAAUUUUAGGAAUUCUAUAGAAAUUCUCUCAGAUAAACAAAGAUAUAUGUCCAACAGCACUGAAAGCAGUAUUUCUAAUAAUGAAAAAUUGGGAAUAAUAUGAAUGUUUAUUAGGAGAGCUCUGGUUGGCUAAAUUCAAGUUCACCAAUUUAAUGAAAGAGUAUUUACCUAUUCAAAGGGAUAAGGUGCAUCUGUGUGUGCUGACCUGGAAAUGUGUACAUGAUACAUUAAAUGAAAACUGCAAGUUACGCAACUGUUUGUGGAGCCAGGUACCUGAAGGGUACCAUAAAUAUUAAACCAAUUUGCUGUUUUUCCUGUUUCACUUGUGGGUUGACUCAGGGGUCUGGAGGAUUUGUGAGCUUGUUUUCCGGAGGAUUCUCGAGCUUGUUUUGCAGAAGGAAGAGAAGGCCUUCGGGAGAUUGCCAUCACCCGUCACCGGUUGGCGGCCCUCAGCAGCUACUGAAGCCUGGCAGUCCCGCUGCCCAGGGGCUUGUCGGGAGUGACCUCUUUGUUUCCCUGAAGCCCCUCCUGCCAAGCCCCUUAGCUCCAUAAAACACCCCCUGCUUUCUGUUCUGGGGGAGCAGAUUUGAGGGAACCCAGGCUCCCACCUACUCUGUUUGGCCAAUUCUUAGAAAUCUUCGUCUCCAAGCACUGAUGUCGCAGCGUUAGGCUUCCGGUGCAUCGGGCACAUGAACUUGAGAUAAAGGGGUUCAGUGUCAUUUGUAUAGUGUGAUCUUUUUAAAAAAAAUUUGUGUGGAGGCCAGCCCCGUGGCCAAGUGGUUAAGUUCGCAUGCUCCACUUUGGCGGCCCAGGGUUUUGCCAGUUCGGAUCCUGGGGGUGAACAUGGCACUGCUCAUCAAGCCAUGCUGAGGUGGCGUCCCACAUGCCACAACCAGAAGGACCCACAACUGAAAAUACACAACUAUGUACCCGGGGGCUUUGGGGAG